CUACUGGGGUAUCUAAUCCUGUUUGCUACCCACGCUUUCGGGUCUGAGCGUCAGUAACAGGCCAGAGAGCCGCCUUCGCCGCUGAUGUUCCUCCUAAUAUCUACGUAUUUCACCACUACACUAGGAAUUCCACUCUCCUCUCCUGCACUCAAGAAAUUUGGUUUCAAAAGCACUUCCUGGGUUAAGCCCAGGACUUUCACUUCUGACCUAAAUUUCCGCCUACACCCGCUUUACGCCCAAUGAUUCCGAACAACGCUAGGACCCCUCGUAUUACCGCGGCUGCUGGCAC
rnacentral:rRNA from 1 species